rnacentral:rRNA from 1 species
UACAGAGGUCCCAAGCGUUGUUCGGAUUCACUGGGCGUAAAGGGCGCGUAGGCGGCAGGCCAAGCGUGCGGUGAAAGUCCGGGGCUCAACCCCGGAUCUGCCGUGCGGACUGGUUUGCUAGAGCACUGUAGAGGCGAGUGGAAUUCCGGGUGUAGCGGUGGAAUGCGUAGAGAUCCGGAAGAACACCGGUGGCGAAGGCGGCUCGCUGGGCAGUGGCUGACGCUGAGGCGCGACAGCGUGGGGAGCAAACAGG